CGAAUAUAAAAGAACCUAACUUAGUCCAUUUGACAACCAAGCCAUACUUUCAGCGUUGAAACAUAUUUCAAGUGAUAUUCCAUUCUCAUAUAACCAAAUUUCAUUUCAACCUCAAACUGUUUUGAAAUCGAAUGGAUCCAACCUAACAGAAUACUGAAAAAUCCUUCAACAACUCAAGAUUACAUUUAUUUAAUUGACUAUAAAUGAAUAACAAAUUGUUCCAUUUAGAAACAAAGAGAAAGCAAAUUAUUCCGUCUUAAUAGCCUUAAGCUGAAUAAUCAAAAUUUUGAGAACACAAAUUCAUUCAAACCAAAAGCACUAAGGUAGAACACCAAAAAUUCUUGAAUUAAUUAAAGAAAGGAGGUAGAAACGGAUCUUUAACAAACAAACAAUCGGAUCAAAUCUUAGGCCGCGAUCGGAACCUCGAGGAACAAACCUCGACCUCAACUGCAUCUCAGCCACGCCUGAACUUGAAAACCAUUUUUUGCAGUCUUUAUGCUUUCUUCUCUGUUUUCGGAUUUUGGUUUGAAAAUCGUCCCAAGCUCUCAAUCUCGUUCCUUUCUUCAACAAUUCUUAAUAAUUCUCAAACUAAGAAUUGGAGCAUGGCUCGAUUUUGUGUUGAAGAGAGAUCUCUUAUCUUGUUUUCUUUUAGUCUGAACGUGAACCAAGAAAAGUUUGGGGAGGGGGUCCUUUUUUGUAUAAACAGCGGAUUGUAUACUUAGGGAUGUUGUUAGAUGUAGGUAUUAUUUUUUUUUUUUUUAGCUUAACUGCCAAAUUAUAUUGAUUUCGAAAAAUAUACUAUGUAUUUCUAUGGUAGUAGUAUGGACUCCUACUAAUC
rnacentral:lncRNA from 1 species